AGAGUUUGAUCCUGGCUCANAAUGAACGCUGGCGGCAUGCCUAACACAUGCAAGUCGAACGAAAAAAGAAUUUUUUAGUUUUCUAAAGAAUUUUUUUUUAGUGGCGAACGGGUGAGUAAUAUAUAANAAUCUACCUUUUAGNGGGGAAUAACCUUUGGAAACGAAGGCUAAUACCGCAUACCUUGAAGGAAAAACUUUGUUUUUCUUUUAAGAAAGAUUUAAUUCGCUAAAAGAUGAGCUUAUAUUGGAUUAGAUUGUGGGUAAGGUAACGGCUUACCUAGUCUAUGAUCCAUAGCUGGUUUGAGAGAAUGAUCAGCCACACUGGAAUUGAGAUACGGUCCAGACUUCUACGGAAGGCAGCAGUGAGGAAUAUUGGACAAUGGGGGAAACCCUGAUCCAGCAAUGUCGCGUGAGUGAAGAAGGCCUUCGGGUUGUAAAGCUCUUUCGUUCGUGAAGAAAAUGACGCAUAGUANCGAAAGAAGAAGUUCCGGCUAACUCCGUGCCAGCAGCCGCGGUAAUACGGGGGGAGCUAGCGUUAUUCGGAAUUACUGGGCGUAAAGGGUGCGUAGGCGGUUUUUUAAGUAAGAUGUGAAAGUCUUAGGCUUAACCUAAGAAUUGCAUUUUAUACUGAAAAACUAGAAGAUGACAGAGGAAGGUAGAAUUCCUGGUGUAGGGGUGAAAUCCGUAGAUAUCAGGAGGAAUACCAGUGGCGAAAGCGACCUUCUGGGUCAUUCUUGACGUUGAGGCACGAAAGCGUGGGGAGCAAAAAGGAUUAAAGACCCUUGUAGUCCACGCUGUAAACAAUGAACGUUAGAUGUUAGNAACUUU
rnacentral:rRNA from 1 species